rnacentral:rRNA from 1 species
UACGGAAGGCAGCAGGGGGAAUAUUGCACAAUGGGCGCAAGCCUGAUGCAGCCAUGCCGCGUGUAUGAAGAAGGCCUUCGGGUUGUAAAGUACUUUCAGUCGUGAGGAAGGUGUUAAGGUUAAUAACCUUAGCAAUUGACGUUAGCGACAGAAGAAGCACCGGCUAACUCCGUGCCAGCAGCCGCGGUAAUACGGAGGGUGCGAGCGUUAAUCGGAAUUACUGGGCGUAAAGGGCACGCAGGCGGUUAAUUAAGUUGGAUGUGAAAUCCCCGGGCUUAACCUGGGAAUGGCAUUCAAGACUGGUUAGCUAGAGUCUUGUAGAGGGGGUAGAAUUCCAUGUGUAGCGGUGAAAUGCGUAGAGAUGUGGAGGAAUACCGGUGGGCGAAGGCGGGCCCCUGGGACAAAGGACUGACGCUCAUGUGCGAAAGCGUGGGGAGCAAACAGGGAUUAGAUACC